UGUUAUCAAUCUCCCUGUCCUUCUGCUCAUGUCUCCCACCUUCUCUUCCACAUACAUUGCUGGUGAUUAACUCUUCUUUCUCCCUUCUCCUGCUUUUCUCCUCCUGGCAAGUUUCCCUGCUUGUCCUUUACCUUCACCUGUACCUGGGCAGCCCAGUAAGGACCAUUACAAUCCGCCUUUCAUUCCUUGCCAAAGCUUCCUUGGCUAUUUUGGGAGUGUUUCUGACUUUUUCUUUCUUGUAGGAUUAUAACUAAAGUUGAGGUUGAGGAGCAAGGAGGGACUUUUGGCUUUAUUUUACUAUUCGGUUACAAAGGGGAAGUUUCUUUCCUCGUCCUCGCCUUCCUUCUUGUUGCUGCCAGACCACAAAAGGGACACGGAGAGGAAGACUUCUCCUUCGACGGACCAAAGACAUUUCCUUGGAAGUGUUGCCAGGACCAGCCAGCAUGAAGUCCUUUGGAGGUCCCAUCACCAUCGUCCUCUUCUUCCUCAUCCACACCGCAAGAACGACGGUCCGCACAGCUAAUUUCUCCACCCAGGUGGGCCAGUCAGUCACUCUGGAUGCGGAGAUUCCCAAAGGGUCCGCUUAUGCCAACAUCCAACUCCGAUCGGCCUCCCUGCGCCGGGCCCUGGCCUUGUGGAUCCCGGGGAAGCCGGUCACUGUCCUCUCCCCACAGUUUUCGGGAAGGAUCAGCUUCGAGGAAGACGGGCACGAGUUCCAGAUCAGCCACCUGAGGCUGGAAGACGGAGGCACCUUUGAAAUUUUGAUGGAGAAUGCUGAAGGCGUUACGAAAGACUUGGAGAAAUACGUCGUCUUCGUGUUCAAUGUCAGCGUUGUCUCUGCCAGUCGGUUUGACAACCAGUCCUGCAGCAUGGAUUUGCUUUGUGAGGCCGGGACUGGGAGCCGAGCGGUGAGCUAUACCUGGACGCAGACAUCCACGGGCUCCACCGUCUCCCGGAGCCCCUGGCACCACCUUGUCAUGGAGCCCAAAGACAAAGGGGACACUUACACCUGCUCCGCACAAUCCCUCGGCACGCAGGGGACUUGGGACAUCGAGCCCUACCCUCACUGCGGAUCCGCCUCUGGGGCCCAAGGAGGCUUCAGACUUGGAUUCCCACCCAUUUGCCUCCUGGCUCAAGCCCUGCUGCUCACGCUUGUGGCCCGGCUGUGA
rnacentral:lncRNA from 11 species